rnacentral:rRNA from 1 species
GAUGAACGCUGGCGGCGUGCCUAAUACAUGCAAGUCGAACGCUUCACUUCGGUGAAGAGUGGCGAACGGGUGAGUAAUACAUAAGUAACCUGGCAUCUACAGGGGGAUAACUGAUGGAAACGUCAGCUAAGACCGCAUAGGUGUAGAGAUCGCAUGAACUCUAUAUGAAAAGUGCUACGGGACUGGUAGAUGAUGGACUUAUGGCGCAUUAGCUUGUUGGUAGGGUAACGGCCUACCAAGGCGACGAUGCGUAGCCGACCUGAGAGGGUGACCGGCCACACUGGGACUGAGACACGGCCCAGACUCCUACGGGAGGCAGCAGUAGGGAAUUUUCGGCAAUGGGGGAAACCCUGACCGAGCAACGCCGCGUGAAGGAAGAAGUAAUUCGUUAUGUAAACUUCUGUCAUAGAGGAAGAACGGUGGAUAUAGGGAAUGAUAUCCAA